GCCAGUACUUUGAUGCUCAAACCCUCUCACAGUGUAUCCAGAUCAGAGAUGAAGAAACAAGAUUGUUUGCUUCUCUUUGACAAAGUGCUUGCAAACCAUCAGUAAUAACACAGAGGUCCUAGGCUGAUUUAUUAUAGAAAACCCUGAAGUCAAAGAGCCCUGUCAUAUCCAUUGAUGAGAAUAUAUCAUUAUUUUCGUGAAGAAUGGAGCCACACUGUACUCAGUCAAUGGAGAUCUGCAGUUCCCUUGGCAUCUUUCCAGGUAUUUACUCCUGUUGUCAAAAUUAUCUUAACUCUCUGAUUAGGAACCUGAAUAGAAAACCACAAGUGGACAAGAAAAACAAGCUGAAUGUGAGACCAUUGCCUGAUUGUCUCCAAGCAGAAACCAAAACAUCUAUUUCUUUCCACAGUGCUUACAUAAAUCUGCAUCCCUGGGAGUACAGCCUCUGGAAGGCUAAAAUGAGAGGAACAGACUGAAACAGGAGCAGCUCCAAGACAGAGCAGUGGGCUGGGAAGCACACCUGGAAACAGAACCACCUCCAUGCUCUCUUCAGUGAAGCCCAACCAGCCUUGCCGAGGCAGUUUGACACAGCACUGCCACUGCUGCCCCGUC